CGAAUGGGAGAGGCAUCAGAUGAGAGUGAGUGGGCAUCGACAAAGAACCCUGUGCCAGAACCUUCGAUUCCAUCCUCCUUCCUUCACUGUUUCGACGGCCGCCGGUGAGAGUUGGCCGAGUUCCAGUGCUUCUAUGGUGUCUUCUUCUCGGCUGUGAUUUCUCGUUCUUCCCCAUUCUGUGAUCGCGUGAAUCUACUGUUGCAGAGGUUUGGGUUGCUAGUUAGUGGUUCCUUGCGUUGCCAUCGGGCGUUCACUGAUUCCUCUUUGCGUCGCCGGAGCUCCUUCCUUCUUCAUGUCCGAUCUGCAAUUUCUCAUUCUUCAAGCUUCUGGGUUCAAGAUCGGAGGAGAGGAACCAAACAAAGCACGCUUGUUAUUUGUGGCCUUCGAGCUCUGCCUGUUAUUCGUAGCCUUCUAGCUGCGCCUGAUAUUCAUGGCCUUCGAGCUGCGCCUGAUAUUCAUGGCCUUCGAGCUACGCUUGUUAUUCGUGGCUAUAAGUUGUGCCGGAUUUGUUACUUACCCUCGUGAAUUAUGUGUCUAUGCCUGCUUCUCAUGGUCUACGAGCCAUACCGGAUUGGUGAUUUACCCACAUGGGUUGUGCACUCGCGACAAAAAUCUCGUGCUGUGUGAAUUCCUUUAAGGAACUUGUUUUAAAAGAAAAAUAAAAAUAUGUUUUUUUUCUUUUCUAAAUUUUUAUUUUUGGAAGGGAAUUCUUAUUAUGAAUUUUUGGAUAAGUUUAUCCCAUGAUUACUUUUACAAAAUUUAUCUUGUUGCUAUAAUGAGUUUGAAAGCAUGUUUUAUACACUUGUUGAUAAGAAUAUAUAUAUAUAUAUAUAUUCGGUUUAUAUUACUAGUAUUGUUUCAGUAAAUAUUUAUCUAUGUCUAUGUUUAUAUAUAUUUGAAGUAUUAUCUUAUGGUCUUGAGAAAAUGACAUGAUUUGGAAUAUAUAUGUGUGUGCAUGUUGCUUGAUUAUGUACUUAUUGAAUUGUUUGUAUUUCAGAGAUUAGAGACCAUCACCUCCUUCAUCUGUAUUAUAAAGUGGAUUCCCAUGAUGAAUAAUUGUAAAGCUGAAUUUAUAUUAAAUUUGAAUUAAAGGCUUGUGGUAUUUGAUAGUUGUUCCAAGCAAAAGGCAAGAUUACUUAUGAUAUCAAGGAAACUUUAUUUUUAAAGGACAAGUGGCUAAAGUAUGUUGGGGAUCGAUGGAGGGGCUUUAAGUCCAAACUUACUAGAAAAUAUGUGGUUCCUAAGAGUUGUAACAAAAAUGAUGAUAGUGAUAAUGAUGUCAAUAUGAAAAAACCUUGGAAGAAAUAUCCAUUCAUUGCUUAUGACACGUGGAUGAAAUUUGUUCAUGGUAGACGCAAUCCUAAAUUUUUUGAGAAGUGAGAAGCGAAAAGACAAGCGGUGGGGGUUGAUAAUAUUGAAGAUGUUUCUCCAUCUCCUAUUAAUCGUGCUCAAGCAUGGAAGAGAGGACGGAUAAACGAAAAGGGAGAGUUUAUUUCCCUAGAGGCUAGAGAAGUGAUUGAGAAAAUUGAUGCUCUUACAGAAGCAUCUUCUGAUGGGACCUUUAUGUCUACUAGUAGGAAGGAUAUAUUGACCAUGGCCUUAGGAAGUGAAGAGCACCCCGGUCGUGUUAGGAGGUUCCGAAAGGUGUGGGCUUAAGAGAAUAUUUUGGACCUCCACCAUCUAGUUUUGUGCUAAUACGACAAGUGCAAAUGAUGAUAGUAGAAUGUAAGUCAAGCAUGAUGAUGGAAAUGUAAUCAAUGAUUAGCAAUCUGCAGAUGCAACCACAACAAGCACCGAAAUAUGAUGGUGUUACAGAGCUAGUGUGUGAUCCUAACCUAUGAAAUCAAGGAACUUCAUACAUACUUUAUGUGGAGGAUCAAUGGCAAAUGAAUAGUUGCAUAUGGAAAAGUGUAUAACAAUGCAAUUAUAAUCUACCACCAGCAGAUACAACAUAACCAAGUAAAAGUAAUGGUUAAAGAGGUUGUGGAUGCUAA